UAGGGAAUCUUCCACAAUGGACGCAAGUCUGAUGGAGCAACGCCGCGUGAGUGAAGAAGGUUUUCGGACCGUAAAGCUCUGUUGUUGGUGAAGAAGGAUAGAGGUAGUAACUGGCCUUUAUUUGACGGUAAUCAACCAGAAAGUCACGGCUAACUACGUGCCAGCAGCCGCGGUAAUACGUAGGUGGCAAGCGUUGUCCGGAUUUAUUGGGCGUAAAGCGAGCGCAGGCGGAAGAAUAAGUCUGAUGUGAAAGCCCUCGGCUUAACCGAGGAAUUGCAUCGGAAACUGUUUUCUGAGUGCAGAAGAGGAGAGUAGAACUCCAUGUGUAGCGGUGGAAAUGCGUAGAUAUAUGGAAGAAUACCAGUGGCGAAGGCGGCUCUCUGGUCUGCAACUGACGCUGAGGCUCGAAAGCAUGGGUAGCGAACAGGAUUAGAUACCCUGGUAGUCCAUGCCGUAAACGAUGAGUGCUAAGUGUUGGGAGGCUUCCGCCUCUCAGUGCUGCAGCUAACGCAUUAAGCACUCCGCCUGGGGGAGUACGACCGCAAGGUUGAAAC
rnacentral:rRNA from 1 species